GAUGAAGAACGCAGCGAAAUGCGAUACUUGGUGUGAAUUGCAGAAUCCCGCGAAUCAUCGAGUUUUUGAACGCAAGUUGCGCCCGAAGCCAUUCGGCCGAGGGCACGUCUGCCUGGGUGUCACGCAUCGUUGCCCCCCCAAACUCCGGUUCGGGCGGGGCGGAAGUUGGCCUCCCGUGCGUGCCUGCGCGCGCGGUUAGCCCAAAAGCGAGUCCUCGGCGAUGAGCGCCACGACAAUCGGUGGUUUUUUUACCCUCGUGCCUCGUCGUGCGUGCCCCGUCGCCCGAACGCGCUCUUGCAACCCUUACGCGUCGCCUCGGUGGCGCUCCCAACGCGACCCCAGGUCAGGCGGGACUACCCGCUGAGUUUAAGCAUAUCAAUAAGCGGAGGA
rnacentral:misc_RNA from 1 species